rnacentral:lncRNA from 1 species
GCAGGAACAGCAAGAAGCAGAGUGAGAGAGAUGUUGUUUGAAGCCGUGAGACUGAGUGAGAUCAUGGAGGAAGUGAAUGUAAAUAGAAAAGGGAAGAAGUCUGAAGACGGAGCCCUGAGACACUCCAUUGUAAACUGGAAGAUGAGGAAGAGCCAGCAAAGGAGACUGAGAAGGGGCAGCCAGUGAAGAUGGAGCCAGGGCUAGAGUAAGAGCCCCUUCUGGGAUGCUGUGACCCCCAAGUUUGAAGACUGCUGAUAACCCCAAUCUACGAAGACUAGCUAUGGAACUUCCUACACUGAGACAACUCCAGUGGAACUCUGAUAAUUAUCCUAAAAUAAGGAGGCUUCUUCAGUAGCCCUCGAAAUAUGUUCAAAUACAUGAUUACAUUUAUGUCCUUAAUAUUGCUAUUAGUUUCUGAUGUUAAUGUAAAAGUUGGGGAAAAAGUGGAAAAGUUAAAGCAGUGCAGGUUAAUUCAAUGCCAGAGUAACUUCUCAGAGGGUGUAUAUUCAGUGUGAACAAUUUUCAACAGAGAAAUGUCAACUUCUGGCCACAACGGCAACCAGUAAAAUGACUAUUUUUACUGUCUUAUCUAUUAAUGAAGAGGAGAUUGCAUAAUAUAGAUGAAGGAGCAUAGUAUUUGCAGGUGGAACGCCUAGCAGGGCUUGAGUCUCAACUCUGCUGCUUUUACUCUAAUUGACCGAGACAAGUCAUUUAAACUAAUAGAGCUUCAAUUUUCUCAUAUCUAAUGUAACAUAACAAUUCACAGCCUUUUACUUUGUAGUUAUCGUGAAGAUCUAAUCGCAGUGAAAUAUAUUUAUAUAUCUGUCUGCUGAUAGAACUUUUGUCAUAGAGGCUAGUCCAUUUUAUGUCAACGGGGCUUAAAUAAGAUCUGUGCCAGCAACUGAAUUACACUAAUGAGUGAGUAAUUACAAAAGAAGCCUGCUUUAUCAAUCUAUAUAAAGAAGAAAGUUACUGAGUAUGGAGGGGAGAUUCUCCUUUCAUAUUGGCACUCAUUCUUACUUUCCCUGAAAUAGAGAUUAUAGUAGUCUACCAGCAAUUUUCAAACUUCAAUUCUGGCCUGGAAAUUGGACAGAAGGGGUCCAAGGACAAUGAACCGAAAGUGCCAGUGAAUGUCUCAGUGCAGACUUGGAGUCAUAGUGGUUAAUUUGCAAAAUUAACUCCCUAUUCAGACUUCAGGCAGUUACAUGUCAACCAACAUCAACUUCGACCCUUAAUCUUCAGCCUCAACCUAGUAAUAAUAUCUCUGAGGUGAAUAAGCUAUGAAGUGGACAUUUCCACCUUCCUUUAUUUUAUUUUAUUUAUUUUUUUGAGAUGGAGUCUUGCUGUGUUCCCCAGGAUGGAGUGCAGUGGCACAAUCUGGGCUCACUGUAACCUCUGCCUCCUGGGUACAAGAGAUUCUCCUGCCUCAGCCUCCCGAGUAGCUGGGACUAGAGGUGUGUGCCACCACGCCUGGCUAAUUUUUUGUAUUUUUAGUAGAGACAGUGUUUCACAGUGUUAGCCAGGCUUGUCUCUAUCUCCUGACCUCUUGAUCCACCC